rnacentral:rRNA from 1 species
UACCAGCACCCCGAGUGGUCGGGACGAUUAUUGGGCCUAAAGCAUCCGUAGCCGGUCAUGCAAGUCCUCCGUUAAAUCCACCUGCUUAACAGAUGGGCUGCGGAGGAUACUACAAGGCUAGGAGGCGGAAGAGGCAAGCGGUACUCAGUGGGUAGGGGUAAAAUCCUCUGAUCCAUUGAAGACCACCAGUGGCGAAGGCGGCUUGCCAAUACGCGCUCGACGGUGAGGGAUGAAAGCUGGGGGAGCAA